AAUAAGAGAGAGAGGGGACCAGCAUGCUGAGGGAUGAACAGGACAGGUCUGGAUUUCCCUGGAAACGCCAACCAGCAGAGUGGGUGGGAGGCUGCUGCUUUUCUCCCCACAGCUUCUGGUGGCCACUGCCAAUGGAGAAGAGGCCACAGAAUUCUGAGGCAGAGCUUCUGCAAGCAUCUUGGACAUGGUCAGUUUCUUUGCUGUUUUGAUGUCCCUCCUCUGAGCCCUCAUCUCCUGAAAAUACGGUGACCCCAGUUUCCUCACCAGGAGGAUCAGAGGACAAAAUCACUGACAUUUCAUAGUAUCACACUUACCUAUCUUAAUCUUCCGUGCUUAACUCUGCCCUUCUCUCCACUCAGGGCAUUCCUGUCUUCAGCAUUAGGUGUAACAGACUCAGGAUUACAUAGUGCUUAUGCUGCAGACUUUUUCCCUUUACCUUCACACCCCUCCAUCCUGGCAUUGGUUUUAAUGUUUCUCACCCCUCCCUUUCUGGCAGGCCUCUUGUACUUUUUUGUAGAUUGACUUGCCAAAUUACAGAUUUGGUCCUUCCAAGAAGUGUAACCUUAGAGAAACCUUGGCAGAUAUGGCACUUUAAGGAUGGUUACAAGUUCUUUGACUUUCUUUCCAUCAGGAGAUUGGAUGGGGGUGGGACGUCUAUGGCCUUUUGCCUUGAAAAUGUGUGGCUCAGUGACUGCUUUAACAGUAGAAAAUGGCGGAAAUAAUAUUGUACUACCUGUUGAGCUCAGCCUUUAAGAAAUUAGCAGGUUCUAUUCUGGUUCUUAGAAAACUUUCUUUAAGAGCCCUAAGCCAUGUGAGAAGUGCAACUACCUGAGGCCUCAUGCCAGAGAGGCCAGCAUGGGUGCUCUGGUCCAUGGCCCCAGCUGAGCCCAGCCUGCCAGUCAUCCCUGCCAGGGUGCCAGACACGGGCAUGAAGCCACAUUGGAUCCUCCGCGCAACAUAUCUGCCAGCCAAAUACCUGAGCAACCUCAAUCAAUGUCUCAUGGAGUGGAAAAAUCACCCAGGAUCUUGCUGCGUCACUCAGGCUGGAGUGCAGUGGCACAAUCACGGCUCAUUGCAACCUCGACUCCCCAGGUUCAAGCAAUCCUCCCACUUCAACCUCCAAAGUAGCUAGGACUACAGGUGUGGCCAUGCCUAGCUAACUUUUAAAAUUUGUUCUAGAGAUGGGGUCUCACUCUAUUGCCCAGGCUGGUCUUGAACUCCUGAGCUCAAAUGUCCCACCAACCUUGUGCUCCCAAAGUGCUGGGAUUAUGAGUGUGAGCCACUGCAUCUGGUGGCUUCCUUUUUUUAAUCCCAAUUUUUUAUUCCUUAAAAAUUUUUUCAGGUGUACAUUGUAAAAUUUGUUUUCUAUUUUACCAUUUUUCCAAAUGGCUACCCAGUUGUCCCAACAGCAUAUAUUAAAUAUUCUAUCUUCUGUAUUGAUGUGAAUUGCCAUCCUUAACAUUUACUAAAUUUGCUUAUUAUUGAUUGAUUUUGGAGAAGGGGUCUCACUUUGUCAUACAGGCUGAAGUGCAGAGGUGUAAUUACAACCCACUGCAGCCUCUACCUUCUGGGCUCAAGUGAUCCUCCCCACUCAGCCUCCUGAGUAGCUGGGACCACAGGCAUGUGCCACCAUGACUGGCUAAUGUUUAAAUUUUUUGUAGUGAUAAGGUCUCUCUAUGUUGCUCCAGCUGGUCUCCAACUCCUGGGUUCAAGGAAUGCUCCCACCUCUGCCUCCCAAAGUGCUGGGAUUACAGAUAUGACCCACCGUGCCCAGGCUGCUUAUUUUUAUUUUUAUUUUUUUGAGACAAGAUUUUGCUCUGUCACCCAGCCUGGAGUGUGCAGUGGCAUGAUCUCGGCUCACUGCACCCUCGACUUCCUGAGCUCAGGUGAUUCUCCCACCUCAGCCUUCCAAGUAGCUGGGACUACAGGCCCACAUCACCACGCCAGGCUAACUUUUGUAUUUUUAGUAGAGACAGGAUUUCAGCGUGUUACCCAGGCUGGUCUCAAACUCCUGGACUCAAGCAAUCCUCCCACCUCGGGCUCCAAAAAUGCUAGGAUUACAGGCGUGAGCCACCCAGCCUGGCCUGCUUAUGAAUUUUGGUCUAGUUUUAGACAUCCUAUUCUACGACUUGACUUGUCUGUUUAUUCAUGUGUCAGCUGUUUAACUAUUAAGGUGUUAUAUGUCCAUAUCUAGAAGGGCCAAUCCUCCUGCGUUGCUCUUCAUUGUUAUAAUUUUCCUGGUUGUUUUUGCUCAUUUAUCUUUUCAAAUGAAUGUCAGUGUUAACUUGCCUGGUUUAAAAAACCGUAUUUUAUUGAAGUUGUAUUAAGAGAAUAAAAAACUGUGGAUAAUUAAAAUUUUUAUGGUAUCAAUUUUUUUUCUCAUUCUAACAA